rnacentral:rRNA from 1 species
GAUGGGCGCUGGCGGCGUGCCUAAUACAUGCAAGUCGAGCGAACAGACGAGAGUGCUUGCACUCUCUGACGUUAGCGGCGGACGGGUGAGUAACACGUGGGUAACCUACCUAUAAGACUGGGAUAACUUCGGGAAACCGGAGCUAAUACCGGAUAAUAUUUAGCUUCGCAUGAAGCAAUAGUGAAAGACGGUUCUGCUGUCACUUAUAGAUGGACCCGCGGUGUAUUAGCUAGUUGGUGAGGUAACGGCUCACCAAGGCAACGAUACAUAGCCGACCUGAGAGGGUGAUCGGCCACACUGGGACUGAGACACGGCCCAGACUCCUACGGGAGGCAGCAGUAGGGAAUCUUCCGCAAUGGACGAAAGUCUGACGGAGCAAUGCCGCGUGAGUGAAGAAGGUUUUCGGAUCGUAAAACUCUGUUGUAAGGGAAGAACAAGUACGUUAGUAACUGAACGUACCUUGACGGUACCUUACCAGAAAGCCACGGCUAACUACGUG